rnacentral:rRNA from 1 species
CGCCUGUUUAACAAAAACAUGUCCUUUAGUUUAUUUAUAUAAGGUUUGACCUGCCCAAUGAAUAAUUGUUGAAUGGCCGCGGUAUUUUAACCGUGCUAAGGUAGCGUAAUCAUUUGUCUUUUAAUUAAGGGCUAGAAUGAAAGGUUGGACGAAGUAUUAACUUUCUUUGGUUUAAUUUUUUGAAUUUAAUUUCUGAGUUAAAAAGCUUAGAUUUAUUUAUAAGACGAGAAGACCCUAUAGAUCUUGACAUUAUAAAUUAAUCUUAAUAUUUAGGGAUUACUUGAUUUGGAUUGAUUAUAAUGUUUGAUUGGGGUGAUUAUAGAAUUUCAUUAACUUCUAUUUAUAAAUUUCAUUGAUUAGUGUUUUUUUGAUCCAUUUUUAUUGAUUAAAAGAUUAAGUUACCUUAGGGAUAACAGCGUAAUUUAAUCGGAGAGCUCAUAUCGAUGAUUAAGUUUGCGACCUCGAUGUUGGAUUAAAAUAAGUAAUGGGUGCAGUAGUUCAUUAACUGGGUCUGUUCGACCUUUGAAUUUUUACAUGAUCUGAGUUCAGACCGG